rnacentral:lncRNA from 1 species
AAAAAAAGCACCGCUGUUACUUCUCCAGGAAGGAUUCAAGUGGGUCUUCUGAUUGUGUGAUGUACAUAUCAUGAAAUACUUAACAAGUCCCUUGCAAUGAAAAUCUCAACAUGCUUCUGUGCAAUCUGCCAUUUAUUUCUUCAGUGAUGUGGAGGCUCUCCAGUUAUAGAAAUGGAGCCUAGGCUCUAGGAAGCUCCCUUUUCUUCAGCGAGGAGCUGGAAGUGCAUCUUCACAGACCAGAGGGCCGAGGCACUAUCAGAUUUCUUCUCAGUCUGUGCUCCUGAGAGCAUUCAGGCUCCCUCUUCUGUAGAAAGGAGACAUGGAAAGACUGUUCCCUGCCCAUUGCCAUUGGACCCUGAAACUGCAGUCAAGGGGAAAACGGCCUCUCCAGAGAGCCUAUACAAAAGUUCUGAAGUGGUCAGGAUGACUGAAGUCUUUGUAUGUAUACUGAAUGCAAAAGGGAAAUGUUUAAACUUUUGUACUUUGUGCAUUGUCUAAAUAAUACAAUAAAUAAUAAUGGAGUGGUA